GUGAGGGGGCAGAAGGAGGGUUGUUAAGAGGCAAGUCCAGUGCAGCAAGGAACAGCACUGCAUUCUCUCCAGGAAAGCAGCAAGUGGGCAGAUGGCAAGAUCCUGGAAGUGUAAAACAGCUACAAGAAACAAGAUGAUUCAGACAGAGGGAGUAUGUGUAAAUACUGGCUGGUCAUCUCAUUAUUAAUCAAGAUACUACCACCCACCCCCUACUGCCUUAGCUGGGCUGUCGCAGGCUUGAAAAAACGUACCAUCACCUAUGUGAUGUUUCUGAAGAAACCCGGAGAAGCAGCAACAGUUGGUGCCUUUGAUUAGCAGAACAUUUCAAUCCCCACCCCAUCUUUUCUCCAAAGAGUCGUUGACAAUGUGAGUGCUCAGCCCCACUGUUUGCUCGGUUUAAUAGAUCUGGGGGCAAGGGUUAUGCCUUCCUGUUACCCUGGGGCUGGCAGGGAGAACUGGAGGCCAGUGAUCUCAGUCUGAGCUUCAGGAUCAUGGCUAGCUACCCACAGCUGUCCCCAGAUGUUCCCAAUUCAACCCGCAGUGCAGAUUACAUAAUCAUCUCUUCGC